rnacentral:rRNA from 1 species
CCCCAGACUCCUACGGGAGGCAGCAGUGGGGGAUAUUGCACAAUGGGGGGAACCCUGAUGCAGCGACGCCGCGUGGGUGAAGAAGUAUUUCGGUAUGUAAGGCCCUAUCGGCAGGGAAGAAAUUGGACGGGAACUGACUAAGAAGCCCUGGCUAACUACGUGCCAGCAGCCGCGGUAAUACGUAGGGGGCAAGCGUUAUCCGGAUUCACUGGGUGUAAAGGGGGCGCAGACGGCGAUGCAAGCCAGGAGUGAAAGCCCGGGGCCCAACCCCGGGACUGCUCUUGGAACUGCGUGGCUGGAGUGCAGGAGGGGCAGGCGGAAUUCCUGGUGUAGCGGUGAAAUGCGUAGAUAUCAGGAGGAACACCGGUGGCGAAGGCGGCCUGCUGGACUGCAACUGACGUUGAGGCCCGAAAGCGUGGGGAGCAAACAGGAUUAGAUACCCCGGUA